UUCAUUUGCCAUGUCGGAUUUUCAAGCUACUAUUUUUUCAUGUGUGUUUUGCUCCAAUGGUUAGCAAGUUGCUUGAAUUUUUUUUAACCAUAUUUUAAUUUUAUUUUUAUGACUCAAUUCACAAGUUUAUCAAAUAAAUUAAUUGUUUUACGUUCUUUUUUUUCCCAAGCUAAUUAGCUUUGUAGAGCUAAUUUGCUUAACUUGGCUAAUUGCUCAUAUGUACUCCAUUGGUUGGCUAGUAACUAAAAAUUUUAUGAAAAUUGCAAGCUAGUCCCUACAUGUAACCAUUGGAGAUGCUCUAAGGGAAAGAGGGGGAAUUGGGGUAAUGGCGCCAUUUAGUUUACACAAGCGGGAGUUUUAGCGCCCAGAAUUAUGUGAAGAAAUGAGCGCCAAUUUUUUCAUGAAAAAUAAUUAAUCAGAAAAUCUGAAACUCACCGGCGCCGAUUAUAAUUCCGACCAAGUCACUCAAUGGAAGCAUGAACCGCCGAUUAUAAUCCAAAUAUAGAACUAGUUUUAACAGGUUAAAUACGAGAAAAUAGGUCCCUUAGUUAAUUGCAAAGUUCAACUAAUUAAACGGGAGAUCAACUAAUUAUGAACGUAAGUGUUGGUGGGGGAGGUGUUGCUCUUGUCGCUGUUACAGGCAGAAAUGGAGAUGGUGAUGGUGAUGGUGAUGGUGAUUGGUGAUGUUGCCAUUCCUACUGAAGAAAAGAAAUAGGAGAAGGAGGAAGCCGAGGAGGUCAACUCCCUCUUUGCAAGGGCCUAAUCAAACUCAAUGAAGCAAAAUAUUGUCUAAUUGUGAGGGGACAGAAAAAGCACGAGGCUAAUGCAUGACCUCGUCCCUCGUGGGCGUGACGUUGUCAGAUCAAGUGUAGUUAGAUUUCUUGUGAGUUUACACCCAAUCGACUAGUAAUAUAGGAGUCGCCAUUCAGUUUUUAACGACAAUGAGAAAAAUUGACAAAACCCGGUUAUCGUGACAUAAAGGGAGUGCAAUUAUGUUCAACCACGACGGCCGUAUGUUCCCUUGUGAUCCCUAGUGUGGGGAUCGCUCAAUGUACACCCGCAGGGCAGAGAUUGAGAGUUCGGGGGACUGUAACUACCGAGAGGAGUACUCAUCGAUAACUCCAGAGGCAGGUUAUCCUUGUUAGGUUAUGAUACAUAUGAAUAAACAUAAAUCAUGCGGAAAAAUCAUAAAGCCAGGAAACAUAUUAUUUACACAUAAUCAUUUAGCAUAAUUCAGAUG